ACACAACGCCGCACGGUCUUCGGCAGCAGCGACCGUCAUUGCGGCUUCGGAGAGAGAGCGAUGGGUGCCGGAGACGAGCUCUUCGAUGAUUCCUCCAUGGAUAUCGACGUCUUCCUUGGUCCGCCUAAGCAGUCUCGUUUCGGGCCCAAGAUGAAGGGCAAGGGCAAGGUAAAGGCGGAGCCAUCAUUGACGCCAUACCCGGCUCCCACACCGGCGCCACCUGCCGCAGAAUCCAUUCCUUAUUCGAAUAAAAUGGAGCUCUCUGAGGAUUCGCCUGUUCCUCAUUACAAUGGUGUUAACGAUGCAGCGGUUAAAGCAGAGAGCACUUCGAUGGAUGUCGAGGAGGAGGAAGAUGCGGUGGUUCGGGAGUUCGAUGUCUACGUACAUCCAUCUCUUGAUUCGGACACUAAGUUAUAUGAUGUGCGGUAUCCAUUAAGGCCUUCUUGGCGCCCAUACGAAAUGGAUGAAAGAUGUGCUAAGGUUAGGAUUAAACCAAAACUAGCACAGUUUGAAAUUCAAUAUAGUUUGGACAUUGACAGUGAAAACUACAACGAAGAAGUUGAUCAUAAUUUGAAGAUUACUACACAGACUUUGUCAUCAUCCUCAAAGCCUUCUGUAAAUGAUUACGCAGUUGGGUUUCUAAGAGGAAACAGUUUACAUGUGAUUCCUUUGCAUGCAGUAGUCCAGUUUCGGCCAUCAAUAGCUCAUUUAAAUGGAGUUCAGAAGGUGAAUCAAGGUGGUCAUCAGCCAGAAUCAAAUUUAAAACCGGUUGACAAUUUCAUGGAAUCUCCAAAGCUGUCAAAUAAUAAGGGAAAAGCUGUAAAGGACGAUGCAAAAGAGGCUAAUGAGCACAUCAAUGUCGAUGAGCCUUGGGUUUUGCUCGAGUAUCAUUCUAGUGAUAGUCCAGUUUCAUGCAUUUAUCGGGAACAGACACUUAAGGGUGGGAGGAAUUAUAUACCAUUAGCAAUGAAGUCGUCUGAUUAUCUCGACUCCUGUGGCUCGGCAACAUCUGGCUUCACAAGGAAAACUACAGGCCCUUCAAAAAGGUACUUGCUCACAAGGCCGUUAGAAGAACGUCUGAAGCAAUGGCUUUCUGAGGGCCCUCAAGUGAACCGUUUUGUUGCUUUGUUGCAUCUUGCACCUAAUGAUUCUGUGGAGGAUGUUCUUAAACUUCUUCAGCAUCAUGCAUAUUUAGUACAAGGUCUAUGGGUUUCUAAAAGUUCUUUGUUGCAUGAUGGACUUUCAGCUCUUUAUAGAGAUUACAUACUUCUUCAAUUUAGUAAAAAACAUGCUGUCCAUGAAAGCAUACUGAAGUUGGUUAAACCUGAAGAUCUUAGAAAAAGUUUGCUAAAGCCAUUGGCUGUUGAAAGAUCUUUGCUUAAAGACUGGAAAUUUAAAGAAGAUAGAGAUUUGUCGUUUAUCAAGCAAUAUCCUGAAAUCGUGAAAGAGCAAGAGCAAGCUUGGUCUGUUCGUGAGAAGAAAAUCUUGGAAUCUUUGCAUGGUAGUGGAAAAAACAUUUCUUCUUCGUUGAAGAGCUCUGUCAGUCCGAGCACAUCAUCCAUAACCAAAGGUUCCAUUGAGCUGGGACACCAUAAAGAUAGAAAUGAUGUGCGGAGCUCUGUAGUUUCAACCAUGCCAACUAAGGGCCAAGAAGCUCUUGAAAAGGCUAUUUUGGAACUUCUACGCACUUACAAGGUUCUCAGCCUUAAUUCAAUCGUUCAAGGAUUGCAAGGAAAUGCAAAUGCUGGCUUGCCUGAGAUUGAGAAUGUUGCAGAUCAAAUUGCCAUGAAAGUUCAUGACGUAUAUGUGUUGAAGUCUUUGGGAAAACCAUCACUGGAUAAAUUCAGGCAUGUUGUCAUUGAAUAUUUAAUUGGCAAGGGACGUAAUGCAAAAGUAAAGAAGCAGGAAAUAAAAUUAGCUGCUCAGUAUCGCUUGAAAAAGGAUGUUUCGGAUGCUGAAUAUAGUAUGUGUGUUCUUGAUUUCACAUAUAGUGCGCGGUGAUGAAUUUUAAUUCAUAGUGUGUGUUACACUAUCUGAUUGUUCCCAAAGAGUAAGGAGCUAUUUUGGAUCUCUUUUAUUUUUAUUUUUUCAUUUUAAUUUAAAUUUAUUUAUAUUUUAAUUUGAAAGAAAAUGUAUUUGAUAUUUGAAAAAAAAUAUAUUUUUUAUUCUAUUGAAUGUUGAAUAAAUUUAUUCAUAUGAUGAUUGUAACGGUCACCGGCAGAGACUCUGCAUGGAAUUGACGAUGGUAGCGGCAUUGGUGGCUAGUGAUCAAUGGUCGUCAGAGUGGUGGUGAUAGUUGUUUUCAUUAUUUUUAAUGACAAGAUCAUUUAUUUUUAAAACAAGAAAUGAAAAGAUAUAAAAAAUGCACUAAAUAAACAUGCUCUCACUGUUAAAUAUGCAAUGCAUGUAUAUUACUAGCUGCUUAAACCAGUUCUGCGUCACAAUAGUUCAACCUUGAAAGUUCAUCUCAAAGAGAACCUUCACGGUUUAAUGAAUGGUUCCUGGCCAAUUGUGUGGAAAAUGCGAUUAAUUAUUCUGUGCGGAUGCCGAACGCCGUCCGGAGAUCAACCAGACUACGCCACAUCACCUCUUGCUCGGUACCGCAGCUCAGUACUGAUGAUUUGACAUAUUCUUAUUAGUCUCCUGACGGCGUUUUGUAUCCGAUCUCCGCACAGAAUAAUAUCCCCAGGUUAUGAAUGAGCUUUGCCUGUCUAGCGGAGGAUCAUGGAUGCUUAAAAGCGGAGCUUUGAGAUGAAGCUUUCACUUGCUUUGUAGGACUCUCUAGUGUUUCACAGCUUUGUUUUCCCCUACUUUCUUUUGCUGGAAUUUGAACUGUUGAUGCAGUGUAGUGGCAGAUAUGCUAAUUUAUUUCUGUACCUGUAAAUGAAGCCAUUGACUAUUUAUUUUUAAGAAAUAUAAAAAUGUUUUAUUGGUCAA